GCCUACGGGACGCAGCAGUGAGGAAUAUUGGUCAAUGGUCGGGAGACUGAACCAGCCAAGCCGCGUGAGGGAUGAAGGUACAGAGUAUCGUAAACCUCUUUUGUCAGGGAACAAAGGCGGGGACGUGUCCCCGGAUGAGUGUACCUGAAGAAAAAGCAUCGGCUAACUCCGUGCCAGCAGCCGCGGUAAUACGGAGGAUGCGAGCGUUAUCCGGAUUUAUUGGGUUUAAAGGGUGCGCAGGCGGUCUGUUAAGUCAGCGGUCAAAGCCCGGGGCGCAACCCCGGCCCGCCGUUGAAACUGGCAGU
rnacentral:rRNA from 1 species